rnacentral:rRNA from 1 species
CUACCGGGGUAUCUAAUCCUGUUUGCUCCCCACGCUUUCGCGCCUCAGCGUCAGUUACAGACCAGAAAGCCGCCUUCGCCACUGGUGUUCCUCCACAUCUCUACGCAUUUCACCGCUACACGUGGAAUUCCGCUUUCCUCUUCUGCACUCAAGUCCCCCAGUUUCCAAUGACCGCUUGCGGUUGAGCCGCAAGAUUUCACAUCAGACUUAAAGGACCGCCUGCGCGCGCUUUACGCCCAAUAAAUCCGGACAACGCUUGCCACCUACGUAUUACCGCGGCUGCUGGCAC